GGAGCCUUCAGGUCAUUCAACCUGAUUUUCAGUUCUUUGCAUCACAUGGGACAUACCGGAGAUGACAGGAGAUGACUCAAGAUAUGUGUCUACUUCCAUGCUGCCCACUUGAACUACCAAAAUAACAAACUCGUGCCCUUAUCAACUAUUUGACAUGCACUCAAUACUGGUAAGGAUACAUUUUGAUUUUGGGUGGUUUCUUC
rnacentral:misc_RNA from 1 species